AUACAGUUGCCUCUCUAACAAAGAGAUGAGAUCUUGUAACUACUUUCACAUAAGAAACAGUUCAUGUCGUCUACAGCAGGUCACUCUUUGAGACAGUUUAAAUCCUCAUCAACAGAGUUCUCAGUAUAAAUUCAAUGUCAGGUCACUUUAGCACCAUGCUGGCUCAAGCGAAAGCUCAACCUUUAAGCGUGUAAUCAUGAGCAUCUUAAUCUAAUCCUUGUUUACAUG
rnacentral:misc_RNA from 1 species